rnacentral:rRNA from 1 species
UGGGGAAUUUUGGACAAUGGGGGAAACCCUGAUCCAGCCAUCCCGCGUGUGCGAUGAAGGCCUUCGGGUUGUAAAGCACUUUUGGCAGGAAAGAAACGUCGCGGGUUAAUACCCCGCGAAACUGACGGUACCUGCAGAAUAAGCACCGGCUAACUACGUGCCAGCAGCCGCGGUAAUACGUAGGGUGCAAGCGUUAAUCGGAAUUACUGGGCGUAAAGCGUGCGCAGGCGGUUCGGAAAGAAAGAUGUGAAAUCCCAGAGCUUAACUUUGGAGCUGCAUUUUUAACUACCGGGCUAGAGUGUGUCAGAGGGAGGUGGAAUUCCGCGUGUAGCAGUGAAAUGCGUAGAUAUGCGGAGGAACACCGAUGGCGAAGGCAGCCUCCUGGGAUAACACUGACGCUCAUGCACGAAAGCGUGGGGAGCAAACAGGAUUAGAUACCCUGGUAGUCCACGCCCUAAACGAUGUCAACUAGCUGUUGGGGCCUUCGGGCCUUGGUAGCGCAGCUAACGCGUGAAGUUGACCGCCUGGGGAGUACGGUCGCAAGAUUAAAACUUAAAGGAAUUGAC